rnacentral:rRNA from 1 species
AGUCGAGCGGUAGAGAGAAGCUUGCUUCUCUUGAGAGCGGCGGACGGGUGAGUAAUGCCUAGGAAUCUGCCUGGUAGUGGGGGAUAACGUUCGGAAACGGACGCUAAUACCGCAUACGUCCUACGGGAGAAAGCAGGGGACCUUCGGGCCUUGCGCUAUCAGAUGAGCCUAGGUCGGAUUAGCUAGUUGGUGGGGUAAUGGCUCACCAAGGCGACGAUCCGUAACUGGUCUGAGAGGAUGAUCAGUCACACUGGAACUGAGACACGGUCCAGACUCCUACGGGAGGCAGCAGUGGGGAAUAUUGGACAAUGGGCGAAAGCCUGAUCCAGCCAUGCCGCGUGUGUGAAGAAGGUCUUCGGAUUGUAAAGCACUUUAAGUUGGGAGGAAGGGCAGUUACCUAAUACGUGAUUGUUUUGACGUUACCGACAGAAUAAGCACCGGCUAACUCUGUGCCAGCAGCCGCGGUAAUACAGAGGGUGCAAGCGUUAAUCGGAAUUACUGGGCG